rnacentral:lncRNA from 1 species
ACUAUACCAAAAGUCGGGGUUCGGGUGCGGUCUGUCCGCCCAGGAGGCAGGAAGCAGCUGCCCGGCACCAGCUCUCCACCAUUUUUCUACCUUUGCGCAUGGAAAUCUCCAAAAAGGGAUCCAAGAAGCGGCGAGUUGAAUUGGGGGUCAUCGGCCUGGAAGAAGCCGGGAAUCGGAGCCCAAGACUUCUUCUAAGGAGGCCCCAGGUGUAGAAUGUGCCUAAUAGCCAUGGCUUGUGCGUGCUCCCCGAUGGUGAAGGUCUGACAAGGACAGCUGGCUAGUUUUCAGUGUGAAAACACCCCCUCCGUGGACCAAACACAACGACACUGACCUUUCUGCAGGGGAACCAGAGAUGUGCCUUUGACUGAAUUAGCCACAAAGACGUCUUGCUAUGACUUUUGUUCACCACGAAAGCAAAGAAAUAUUGUGUCUAAUAUGAAAAAUACUGUUCACAGCUUUUCUGUGCCCCUAAAGAAGUAUUACAGUGCUGAUUUACUGGCCCCGUUCUCUAGAAAUGGCUGGACACAAGGCGGGGUGGAGGGGUGGGAUGUGGGAAUGGGACAAGGAGGAGGAGUUGGUAAGUUAAAUUGCCUGCUGCUGUUUCCAAGUUCUCUCUGUGCAGCAGCAAAUUUAUCAAUCUUUUCACCUGACAAUACUUUGAAAUAUAUCAUUGUCAUCCCAAGUUGUUUGAUAGAUUAACUGUAGGAACACAGCCUUUUCCAAGGUCAAGUUGAAGAUUCUUGUUUGCUGUUUAACUAAGUUGUUUAAAAACUCAGAACAAUGCCUGCCUGUUAAAUUUCCACUUGUUCUCAUGGGAUAUUGGAAAGCAAAGUUUCCUGUUGACUGAGUGUGUGGACACGUCAUCUUUUUGAGUUAAAUUCAGCAAACGGGAUUAGCAAUGAGAUCAACCCCUUGCAGACACAGAGGAAAUUAAAGCCCUCUCUUAUCCUUUCAAUCUGUGUACUAAUGUUUAUGUGUGUCAGGGGCUGGUUACAGCCACACAUAUCACGUUCAGCUUUCUAAUUUUACCCCAGUGGGAAGGUACAAAUGUGCUCUUCUAAAGCAGGAAGGCACAGAAAUUGUGGCCACUCCUGUGGGGUUUUGUUGAUUGUUUAACAGAGCAUAACCUGUUGCCUUAAAGCUUCAGUAAAAAUAAAGCCAAUUCAAAACCAC